AGCCAAUAGAUACCCGGGUAGUCCACGCCCUAAACGAUGUCUACUAGUUGUUGGUGGAGUAAAAUCCAUGAGUAAACGCAGCUAAACGCGUGAAGUAGACCGCCUGGGGAGUACGGUCGCAAGAUUAAAACUCAAAUGAAUUGACGGGGGCCCGCACAAGCGGUGGAUUAUGUGGAUUAAUUCGAUGCAACGCGAAAAACCUUACCUGGCCUUGACAUGUAACGAACUUUCCAGAGAUGGAUUGGUGCUCGAAAGAGAGCGUUAACACAGGUGCUGCAUGGCUGUCGUCAGCUCGUGUCGUGAGAUGUUGGGUUAAGUCCCGCAACGAGCGCAACCCUUGCCAUUAAUUGCCAUCAUUUAGUUGGGCACUUUAAUGGGACUGCCGGUGACAAACCGGAGGAAGUGGGGAUGACGUCAAGUCCUCAUGGCCCUUAUGGCCAGGGCUUCACACGGUAAUACAAUGGUCGGUACAGAGAGUUGCCAACCCGCAGGGGGUAGCCAAUCUC
rnacentral:rRNA from 1 species